CUUAUUAUUGCUCGUGACCGCGCCCUUCUCUUCUCUCCAUCAGAUUGCCAACCUAGUCACUAUCUUGUGUUUGAACCAUGUGCACCAAAUUUUUCUAGUGCUUCUUUUUGUGACAAAACCUCAUUGGUUAACUUGGAAUCCAUUCGGUCUAAGCUUACUUUCCUACUUAUUAGAAGAAGGAACAAAGGCACCUCUCCGUCAACGUGUGUGUUUCCUUAAAUUUUUCUAAUUUGUUUAGGGGUAUUUUUGUAAUUUCAUUAAUUUACAGCUCAACCUUAUAGUUGCUGACUCUUUCUGCCGUUGCCAGCACGUGGACUCCCAAUUCCUCAAAGCUAAAAACUCAUUCAAUAGAACUUGUUAGAAGCACCCACUUCCAGGUUGAGCAUUAAUUGCCCCAAAAUCCAUCAGGCCUCACCUAAUAAUUUAACGAAAUUAGAGCAGUUAGCCUUUUCUGAUUCACAUCUAUCAUAAAGAGCAGGUUUAUUCCAAUUACUCCAGCAUUUUAUUUUAUUUAUGCUUUCUGUUCAACUUUUUCUUCUUCUGCAAAAAGAUCAGAUCUUUGGGGUUUUGGCUUGAUCAGCGAUCUUUUCUUCAAUUUAGUCUUAAGAUCCAUUUCAGAAAGGUGAAAAUAAGCUGAGAUUGUUAGAAGUUCAUUAACAUAUCUGCUUGUCGGAGGGCAAUUUCGUCUUUACAGUGUUAUUGUGCUAUGAACAAAUCUUGUGGUAUCCCUGUACCAAUGAAUUUGAAUAGGUAAUUUCGCAAGCUAACCUGAUAAUCACCACUUAAUUCUCUGCAAUACCAAGAUUUUCCUCCGCAUCUCCGUCGUCUCUUUGUUUUGAUUCUCUUGGCUUCUCCGCUGAUUUCUAUCUUUUUCAUGUUGCACAUCAAUUUCUGUUAUAUAUUUCAGGAUAGUUUAACAGGAGAUUGUGGUUUUUAUUGUAUUUUUGCAAUUCUAUAUUUGCUCAAGAUAAUAACAUGAUUAAAAGAUUAGUUUUACUGUGUUGUUUCUUUUCCUUCAUAGGGGUGUCUCUUGUGUUUUGUUUCAGGGUUCUUGUUGGGUUGUUCGAAUAUUCAUUAUAAUUUUAUCUUGUUGUUCGAAUAUUCAUUAUAAUUUUAUCUUAAAUUUUUGUGAAAUUCAAAAAACUGCUUAAGAAGAAAUCGGGGUUUCCGCGUAUUUGAAGGUUUUAUCAUUUUUAAAAAUUGGGGCUUUCAUAAUGGAUGAUCCUGUAACUUUCUUGGAUUUGACUUUUGAGCUACACUUUUAAUGGGCUUCUGGUUUAUUUUAAUUUUUCCCUGUAUUUACAUGAAAAAAGAUGACUUAGUCCUUCAUUGUUUGGAAGUUUUGUAUUAUCACUUCUUAUUUCUCAUGCCGAAUUUUACCUUCACAAGCUAUGAGAUUUCAAGUUCCUUCAAUUGAGAUUGGCUUUACUAUCAUGUAAAUAAUAUAAGAGAAAAGAACACCUACGGUGAAUACUAUUUCUAAACUGCGUAAAUUGUGCUAAGCCGUAGUAGUUAUAGUAUUAUUGUCCAAUUAAUUAAUCCGCCAGUUGAUGUGUAUAAUUGUAGUCCGGAGGAGACGAUACACAUUUCUGUUUUUAGAGCAAGAAUUAGAGUUAUUGCUAUAACUACACUUGCGAUAAAGAAGUCACUUCUACACUUUUAUCACCGGAAGAGAUAACAUUUUCUAUUUUACACAACCAACUCUUUUGAAAACAACUAAUGAAUUUUAUUUUAUUCUGUUCGGACACUAUUAUUCGUCCAUUGGUCGAGCAGGAUUUUCAAAGCUUGCAGCAAUUAUUUCCUGAAAUUUUUUGUUUUGAUUUACUGUCCGAAUAAUUACUGUGCAUGUAUUUAGUUACAUGUUUAACUUGCAUUUUAAAGUUGCUUAGUUAUGUAUAUAUAAUUAUUUUCUCUCUGUGUUGCUGAAGUUGGACUGACUCAAUAAAUUUCUUGAGCACGUGUCCUUAUUUGGACAACGUACUCUUCAUUUCUUAAAAGUAUCUUGAAUAGGUAACUAGCUUGUGCUAAACUAUUUUGUAUACACUAGUUACUUACAGGACUGCAAAAAAUAUUGUUAAUUGGAGAGCGAAUUUUGAAGUAUAAAAUUAACUCUGCUGAAUUUGAAACAUCGAAUGGGGUUCUUUACCUACUUUCCAAGCUCAGUGAUUUCUUAAUGGCCAGAAAUAAACUUAGUUGGUAUUUUUAUUUUCAGAUAGUGUUCCGACUUGCUAGAAAUUAGACUGUGGCAUAAGAUACUGAAGAUGCUAUUUGUACCUAUCUUCUUUCCAUUUGUAUUGUAGAAAAACAUUAGAUGACAAUUGUUAAGUGGUCUUGAUGGUUUCAUUUAGCAAACAAAUGUUUUGCAUAAGUCGCAUGAUUAGUGCAAGUUAUGGAAAAAUUGACUUUAUUGAGAAAGUUCGAUUAGUAAAGUUUAUUCCUUUGACACAAAGAUACAAACUAGUCAACUAAAAGGUCUUGUACAUAUCAGAAUUCCAUGCUUUUUUUGAGAAGAUAUGACUUACAUAUGAAAUUUUAAUGGAAGUGGCAUAUAUUUACUUAAUCUUGGUAAACCUUCUUGAGAUAGGGUUUUACCAAGUUCACUUAAGUUAUCAAAUGUAAAUAUGUAUGCUCCUACAGUCAUUACCAAUACGUCUAUGUAUAUCAGUUACGCUAUUCAUCUACUAAUAUUUUUAGAAAGUUUCACUUGAUUCUGCUUCAACAAUGUAAAAGUCAUCAUGAAUAUUUUCAUGGAUCCUCCUUUUAACUCUGUCUUCUACCUUGUGCAUAUCAACCAGGCUAUUAUUAUUGAAGUCGGACAUUCUAGGCAAGUUCGUUUUGAUUUUGGAUGCGGUACAUUGGAAUCCUGAAGCACCAUCACGAACGUUAUUGGACGUCCGCCUGCGACACACGAUCUUCCUUUCUGAUGAAUUAGUUCACAACACAGCUCAGCACGAUCUACUUUUUGACGAACUUAUAUGAUGUUGGAAACUGAAUUUUAGAAGACAAAGAAUAAAAAACUUUAUACGCUUUGCUUUUGGGUCUUUGCAGAUAUUAUCACAUGUACUUUUAUUUACAAUAGUAUUAUUUA